UUAAUUGAGAAAAACAAAUGGUAUUAUGGACAUGGACAAUUGCAAUUUAAUGGAACAACUGUUUUGACCAUUCCAAUCCUGAAGCAGAACAUAAAAUCUUUGGUCUUCCCUUUCUCUUCAGAGUAGUGAGGAGGUUUUUAAAGGAAACCAACCCAAAUGGAUUCCUCUGAAAACCCAUGAAACUAGUAGUUACUGUUAAUUGCAGAAGCUGGUUGUGUGAAGGAACGAAGGAGCCCUUAUGUUAGAUUUUCUUUGAUAUAUAGGUUUAUUUAUUGAGCAAACUUUAAAUUUUAUUGUCCUUUAGGUAAUUUUAGUGAACCCUGAAAAAGGUAUUUUUGGUUCUUGUCAGUGUACUUACUAGAAUAAAAAAGGAAAGGCUUCCUUAGGAAAAAGCACGAUAUUAAGAUUAAGAACACAGAUUUUAAUGUUAGAUACCCUAAUAAUGAGUGAUAUACCUUUUUUCUCUGACCUUUCCGAAUACUGGCAGAUUAUCUUUUCUAUUCAAAAUGCCAAUGUUUCAUUGUUUAUCAAGUUUUUUUCUUGUCCUAUUGUAAUAGUGUUCUUCAUAGCUAUACUUUGAAUCAGGUUAUAGUCUAUACCUGUCUAUAUAAUGUCUUUAAAAUAUUUUAUCACUCACCAUUUAUUACAAUUAAUUUCUUAUUUGAAAAUUGAACUAUAAAAAGGGACCAUGGAGUUAUUUACUUACCAGUAAAUAAAUCAAAACCUGGUUUAUGUUCCAUUGAAGCAAAUUUGGGACAACUAUAUAAAAAGAUUUUCCUUGCUUUUGACUUUCUGAGCAAAAUCAUUUAUAUUUAAGAAAAUUGCAUUGGAUACUUAUCAUUAUAAUUUGCUACUUACUAUAUUCUGUCGGCUAGAUUUUUAUGUGCACUUUUCACAGGGUAUUUCUGAAAUACAUUACUGUAAGGAAACAAGAAUGCAUGCAUAUCUAUGGUAUUAAGACUCUCAUUAAGGAGAAAGAUCAUGGUUCUUUAAAAUUGUUUAAUGAUUAUGUCAUUACUUUUGGCUCCAUUAUAAGCAUUUUGGAUAUAAGCCACUUCUACAUCUCUUUAGGCCUUUUCACCCCUCUCAUUCAACAAAAAUUGUUUAGUCUUUCCUACAUAAAUUGUUCUGUACAUUUUCUGCAUAAUAUACAAAUCAAUUAAAUGAUCCUAAUAUAGAGAAAGAAUAGAAUAAUAGCUUUUUUUUCUGUAUAGUUUUAUAAAGCUAAACACCAAGACUUGUUUGACUCAAUAUUACCCUAUUAAGUAUUACUAGACUAAGACCUGGUAAUUUUAAAAUCCAGUGCCUUGGUGGAAUUAAUGAUUCAUCACUCUAGAUUUAAGUUCCUUUGUAUAGCCAGAUUAUUUGUUAUAAUUGAGAUACAACUUAAAUACAGCAAUAUACAUAAAUCUUAAAUGUACAGCUUAAUGAAUUUUGACUUGUGUAUAUACUUGUGUGCUUGUCACUCAUAGAAAGUGUGUAGAACAUUUUCAGUACCCCAGAAGGUACCCUGUGUUCUCUUGUAGUCAAUAAUGACUUCCCUGUCCACCCCCAAAAGGGCAAUCACAAUUCUGAUUUCUAGCAACAUGGAUUAGUUUUAGCUGCUUUUGUUUAUCAUAUAGAUGGAAUCAUGUGUUAUUUCAUGUCUUGCUUCUUUCACUCAACAUUGUAUAGUUUAUCCAUAUUGUUGUCUGUACUAGUGACACUUUUUUUCAUUGCUGUGUAGUGUUCCAUAGUAUGAAUAUACUACGGAUUGUUGU